GACGAACGCUGGCGGCGUGCCUAAUACAUGCAAGUUGAGCGCUGAAGGUUGGUACUUGUACCAACUGGAUGAGCAGCGAACGGGUGAGUAACGCGUGGGGAAUCUGCCUUUGAGCGGGGGACAACAUUUGGAAACGAAUGCUAAUACCGCAUAAAAACUUUAAACACAAGUUUUAAGUUUGAAAGAUGCAAUUGCAUCACUCAAAGAUGAUCCCGCGUUGUAUUAGCUAGUUGGUGAGGUAAAGGCUCACCAAGGCGAUGAUACAUAGCCGACCUGAGAGGGUGAUCGGCCACAUUGGGACUGAGACACGGCCCAAACUCCUACGGGAGGCAGCAGUAGGGAAUCUUCGGCCAUAGACGAAAGUCUGACCGAGCAACGCCGCGUGAGUGAAGAAGGUUUUCGGAUCGUAAAACUCUGUUGGUAGAGAAGAACGUUGGUGAGAGUGGAAAGCUCAUCAAGUGACGGUAACUACCCAGAAAGGGACGGCUAACUACGUG
rnacentral:rRNA from 1 species